rnacentral:rRNA from 1 species
GCAGUUAGGAAUUUUGCGCAAUGGGGGAAACCCUGACGCAGCAACGCCGCGUGCGGGAUGAAGGCCUUCGGGUCGUAAACCGCUUUUCUCGAGGAAGACACCUGACGGUACUCGAGGCAUAAGCAACGGCUAACUACGUGCCAGCAGCCGCGGUAAUACGUAGGUGGCGAGCGUUGUCCGGAUUUACUGGGCGUAAAGAGCGCGCAGGCGGUCGAUCAAGUCGCGUGUGAAAGCCCCCGGCUCAACUGGGGAGGGUCAUUCGAUACUGAUCGACUCGAAGGCAGGAGAGGGUAGUGGAAUUCCCGGUGUAGUGGUGAAAUGCGUAGAUAUCGGGAGGAACACCAGUGGCGAAGGCGACUACCUGGCCUGUUCUUGACGCUGAGGCGCGAAAGCUAGGGGAGCAAACGGGAUUAGAUACCCGUGU